GUUUUAAAUAAAAAGUUGUAGUGAAAAGAACGAGUUAAACAUCGCACAAAUUAUUCUAGUGAAAUUUAUAACUAAAUUAUUGUAUUGUAUAGUUCGUGAAUAAAUUAAGAAGAUAUAACAUCCAAGGAGGAAACAACUACCUUCCUGGGUAAAACCGCGACAAAUAUUGAAUCACAUUUCCUCUGAAAAACCUGAUGCGGUUACAACCUUGCAAUUACGAGCUAUUGGGGAUGAUAUCAACCGAAAGAUCGAUGGACAUCACGUUCUUCAGAGGAAAUGCAAUUCAAUAUUCGUCGCGGUAUUAGCCAGGUUCUUGAACAGCAAACAACAAUUUCGGAUUAUUUCAAAUGAUCAAGAAAGGGGUGGUAACUUUAGCUCAAGACCAUCAGUGAAAGUGUUAGUGCUCACGGGAUUCUCGACGUUUAUUAUUCAGUUUAUUCAAUUUUAUACAGUAAGAAGAUUAAGGCUUUGGAAUCAACCAAAAACUAGGUGAUUCAUGGUGAUUCGUUGCUUGGAGUACGCAGAUUGAGACCACGGAUCAGUUCUCACCAAUGAACGAAUAACCACCCUAUCCCCAUUUUUAUCUUGAUAAUGGUUUAAAAGUGGGACCUCAAACGUCGAGAAUUUUCAAAAUUCCCUCGUAGUUCGACCUGUGAACCUAGCUGAUAAUCCUGACCAUUCCAAACAUAAUAUACAUAUAUUGGUUUUAGGGGUUUUAGUUUUCACUCUCCUUUUCUUAAUUUUUUCUACUCCUUUCGGUCCUUUGCUAUUUCGUCCAUUUUUCGUAUUGUUUUACCUCCUCUUAUU